UGGGGCAGGGAGCUGAGUUACUCACAGGAUUCAUUUACCGUGACAUCAUUAACCCAGAGGGAUUGUCAACACACGGAGCUGUGCUGCCCCGUUUGGCCCAAUGACUCUGGGCUCUGCGCUUCCCUGCAGGGAGGGCUCUGGGGAUGCUCCGACCUCCGGCCCCGCGGGCACAGCGCUGCCCUCCUUCUGGACGCCCAAAGGUGUCAGAGCGGAGAGCCGGGAGCGGCGCGGGC
rnacentral:lncRNA from 1 species